UUGUCAAGACAAUCGCGGCUGGCCUAGCGCCAGAUGAGGAAAGUCCGGGCUCCAUAGGGCAGUGUGCUGGAUAACGUCCAGCGAGGGUGACCUUAGGGAUAGUGCCAUAGAGAUUUAGACCGCCAGUUUCGGCUGGUAAGGGUGGAAAGGUGCGGUAAGAGCGCACCAGCAGCAAGACCAAAUAGGGAAGGGAUGAUGCGGCCCGCGGAACCUUCCGGGUUGAGUCGCUUGAGCCGGCAGGCAACUGCCGUGCCUAGAUAAAUGAUUGUCGCCUCCGCUUGCGGAUGGAACAAAACUCGGCUUACUGAUUGCU
rnacentral:RNase_P_RNA from 1 species